rnacentral:sRNA from 1 species
GCCAUGCUUAUAAGAUUCUCCGACAAAAAAAAUAAUAUAAAGACUUCUUAAAAAAACAGACAGGUCUUUUUCUCUGGUUUUGUCUUGGGAUGAUCACAAGAUCUCUG